UUAUUUUUGGAGAAAAAAGUAUAUUGAUGAUGUGAGGUCGUGGAGGUAGCUUGGAGAUACCAUCAUUGUCCUAUUUCUUAAUCUGCAAAUUGAUUAUGCAGGUGUGUUUGCUUUGCACAAAUAAUUUAUUGAGCAAUACAUAUGUGUACAUUAUACCUAGAUAUAAUCUUGUUUUGUAGUCAACGUUUUGGCUUGGGGGCAACAUCUUUUUAAGAUCUAUUUGGUGCCAGGUAGAGAGAGGUUCAUAUGUAGAAUGUAAUUCUGAUUUCCUUUCUCGUGUUAUUUUUUUCUUUUCCUUUAGAAGUAGAAGCUUAUUUAUUUUUCUCUUCCAUUACCAGAAAUGUGGCGAGUCUACAAUAAAUGUUACCUUCUCUUCUCUGGAUUAAUGUAUCUUUGUGGAAAGCAUCUGGAUUCAUGCCUCUGGAUGUAUAUAAAAUGCCUAUGGAAAAUCAGGAAGCAGUGUGGCCAGGUACUGAGGAGAUGGUAAAUACCCUCUGUCUCACUGUUUCUCUCUCUCAUCAUUAAUGCAAAAGGAUAUAAUCAUAAAAACAAUCUCCUUCUAUUAUUUUCAUUUUAUCAUAAAGAGAUUUAUUAGGCUCAUCAUUUCAGUCUAUCUCUGUCACUUAUUUCUAUAGAUAGAGUAACUGACACAAGACAAGGAUGCCCUCUCUCACAACUCCUAUUCAACAUAGUGUGGGAAGUUCUGGCCAGGGCAAUCAGGCAAGAGAAAGAAAUAAAGGGUAUUCAAUUAGGAAGAGAGGAAGUCAAAUUGUCUCUGUUUGUAGAUGACAUGAUCGUAUGUUUAUAAAACCCCAUUGUUUCAGCCCAAAUCUCUUUAAACUGAUAAGCAACCAGCAAAGUCUCAGGAUACAAAAUCAAUGUGCAGAAAUCAUGAGCAUUCCUAUACACCAAUAAUAGAUAAACAGCUAAAUCAUGAGUGAACUCCCAUUCACAAUUACUACAAAGAGAAUAAAAUACCUAGAAAUCCAACUUACAAGUGAUGUGAAGGACUUCUUCAAGGAGAACUACAAACCACUGCUCAAUGAAAUAAAAGACACAAACAAAUGAAAGAACAUUCCAUGCUCAUGGAUAAGAAGAAUCAAUACAGUGAAAAUGGCCAUACUGCCCAAGGUAAUUUAUAGAUUCAAUGUUGUCCCCAUCAAGCUACCUCUGACUUUCUUCAUAGAAUUGGAAAACACUACUUAAAAGUUCAUAUGGAACCAAAAAAGAGCCCACAUAGCCAAGACAAUCCUAAGCAAAAAGAACAAAACUGGAGGCAUCAUGCUACCUGACUUCAAACUAUACUACAAGG
rnacentral:lncRNA from 1 species